AGCGAACGCUGGCGGCAGGCCUAACACAUGCAAGUCGAACGAACUCUUCGGAGUUAGUGGCGGACGGGUGAGUAACACGUGGGAACGUGCCUUUUGGUUCGGAAUAACUCAGGGAAACUUGUGCUAAUACCGAAUGUGCCCUUCGGGGGAAAGAUUUAUCGCCAUUAGAGCGGCCCGCGUCUGAUUAGCUAGUUGGUAAGGUAACGGCUCACCAAGGCGACGAUCAGUAGCUGGUCUGAGAGGAUGACCAGCCACACUGGGACUGAGACACGGCCCAGACUCCUACGGGAGGCAGCAGUGGGGAAUCUUGCGCAAUGGGCGAAAGCCUGACGCAGCCAUGCCGCGUGAAUGAUGAAGGUCUUAGGAUUGUAAAAUUCUUUCACCGGGGACGAUAAUGACGGUACCCGGAGAAGAAGCCCCGGCUAACUUCGUG
rnacentral:rRNA from 1 species